GAGUUUGAUCCUGGCUCAGAAUGAACGCUGGCGGCAGGCCUAACACAUGCAAGUCGAACGGAGUUAUAUUGUAGCUUGCUAUGGUAUAACUUAGUGGCAGACGGGUGAGUAAUGUAUAGGAAUCUACCUAGUAGUACGGAAUAAUUGUUGGAAACGGCAACUAAUACCGUAUACGCCCUACGGGGGAAAAAUUUAUUGCUAUUAGAUGAGCCUAUAUUAGAUUAGUUAGUUGGUGAGGUAAAGGCUUACCAAGACAAUGAUCUAUAGCUGAUCUGAGAGGAUGAUCAGCCACACUGGAACUGAGAUACGGUCCAGACUCCUACGGGAGGCAGCAGUGGGGAAUAUUGGACAAUGGGCGAAAGCCUGAUCCAGCCAUGCCGCAUGAGUGAAGAAGGCCUUCGGGUUGUAAAGCUCUUUUAGUGAGGAAGAUAAUGACGGUACUCACAGAAGAAGUCCUGGCUAACUCCGUGCCAGCAGCCGCGGUAAUACGGAGAGGGCUAGCGUUAUUCGGAAUCAUUGGGCGUAAAGGGCGCGUAGGCGGGUUAGUAAGUUAAAAGUGAAAUCCCAAGGCUCAACCUUGGAACUGCUUUUAAAACUGCUAGUCUAGAGAUUGAAAGAGGAUAGAGGAAUUCCUAGUGUAGAGAUGAAAUUCGUAAAUAUUAGGAGGAACACC
rnacentral:rRNA from 2 species